CCAUCUCUAAGCCGGGCCAGUUUGAGGUCGAUAGAGUGACUGAGAUCAGCUGGCUGAACAUGGGAAGCACCCUGGAAGGGCGAGCAAAUGCAGUUCUGGCCAGAAGCAGUUCCUGUGAGGUUCAGGGUGCAGAGCUGAGUCUUCAACAUCAGGCCUUUGUGAUGGGUUUGGGAUUUGAGGAGCCCUCCAUCUCUCAGAAGACUCAAAACAAUCCCAUACAGAGUGAUUAAGGAUGUGGACUAUUUCAGUCAGAGAAACUUGGGGAGAUGCUCUCCUUUCUCUGAGGAUGCUAAGCUGGUAUGUGCCUCCAGUGAUCAUUAUGAUCUCCGGUAGAGAAUGCCUGUUUAAGAGAUUGGGAGUCCUGAUGACAUCAUUGGAGCUUCUGGAUCAAGCUGUGCCUGAAGUUAAUUGACUUUCCUUUCCAUAAGCCAAUAAAUUGUCUUUUAUUUAAUCUA